rnacentral:RNase_P_RNA from 1 species
CACCGGAUCGCGGCUUUGCUUAAAUGCCCUACUUCGCUCUAUGAGCUUCGAAGGGUCCGCAAGCGGAGAGGAAAGUCCGAACACCCGUAGUUUCGCAAGACUCUACGAUAAAGAAUGUUGUUAACGACAACCGGGUAUACGUUAAUCAUUGAAGCGUUGGAUUUAUUCACGCUUUAGCGAUGGACAAAGCCUAGGGCCAGUGCCACAGAGACUAUACUAGUCCCGCCGCUCUUGAGCAGUGGGAUGAAACGUGAAAAGUACGGUGAUGUCGUUUACGGCUACAUCGUUCGCGCCAUGGUGACAUGAGCGUGUGGUAAACCCAUUCUGGUGCAAGUGCAAAUUUGGUAGCACGCAUGAGCGUAUUGGCAACAAUGCGCCUAGAUAGAUCGCGGUCUCCCUCGCACCCAAAGGUGUGCGGAUAGACAGAAUUCGGCUUACAGGUGCGAAUGCAAA